CCUACGGGAGGCAGCAGUGAGGAAUAUUGGUCAAUGGUCGGGAGACUGAACCAGCCAAGCCGCGUGAGGGAGGAAGGUACAGAGUAUCGUAAACCUCUUUUGUCAGGGAACAAAGGCGGGGACGUGUCCCCGGCUGAGUGUACCUGAAGAAAAAGCAUCGGCUAACUCCGUGCCAGCAGCCGCGGUAAUACGGAGGAUGCGAGCGUUAUCCGGAUUUAUUGGGUUUAAAGGGUGCGCAGGCGGUCUGUUAAGUCAGCGGUCAAAGCCCGGGGCUCAACCCCGGCCCGCCGUUGAAACUGGCAGUCUCGAGUGGGAGAGAAGUAGGCGGAAUGCGCGGUGUAGCGGUGAAAUGCAUAGAUAUCGCGCAGAACUCCGAUUGCGAAGGCAGCAUGCCGGCUCCACACUGACGCUGAGGCACGAAAGCGUGGGUAUCGAACAGGAUUAGAUACCCUGGUAGUC
rnacentral:rRNA from 1 species